GUAACAGUCUGUUCCUUGCUCUGAUAGGUUUUUCAUAACGUGUAUUCCGGUAUUUUGUAAUGAGUACAUGUAACAUUGAGAAAUUGAUUGUUCCGAGGGAUUGUACAUGUAGAUAGACUUGGAUAGGUGUGAGAGGCUUAAUUAGUGUUAAAGUAACUUUAAAAAGUAUUAUAUAUACCAUAUGCAACUUUCACCAAAUUGUUAGUAAAGGCUUUAAUAAUUUGUGCAUUACUUGAUCAUUUCAACACAUGAUUUAUAUAAAACAUAAUACCAUAGAAAUGUGAUUAAAAAAGGUAAACAAGAAACACGUGUUACACAGAAACUGUCUUUAAGAUAACAUUUUAGUUUAUGUUGAACCAUUUGGUUUUGUUUAUUUUUUGCAAAAUACUUUUCACAUUGUCAAUGUAUUUUGAUAAGGUCACAAAUUCACAACAAAAUUAUUCAAAAUUUUUUAUUAAGUGAAGUUUUUUUUUAAAUGCAGAAAUGUUUCCUCAUUGCUUUGUAUCAAAUCUCGAAAGGCGACUUCAUAAUCUCAAGUAUCCUGAAAAUGAGGAAGACAUGAUUUUUUGCGUGCAAAGAUUUAUUUAUUUUUGUAUUCCUGUGGUAUAUACUGCGUAUACACAAGCUAUCAAAUCCCAGAUUAAAGUGCUAAAUGCAUAGACUGCAGAUUUUAGUAUUUUAAAAUGGUUUUAUAUUUUAUGUGGAUUCUGUCCUACACUAGAUAGAUUUACAAACCAUUCAUGUGUUCACUGGGGAAAGAAGUGAAAUCUCAGAGCAAGAAUUCUCAGUGCAUCUCAAAAUCAACAUUUCAUCAGCUGGUUCCUCUGAUUUCAUUUUAACACCCCCAACUUUUUGUUAUAAUCUUGAAAUUAUUUCCAUAAUGCAAUUUUUACUUUUCAUGUAAUACCAAAGCAGAUUUGUCAUACAACUUCAUAUUGUUUUUCUCCAUCCUACACAUUUUAUCAGAGCUAACCUGAAAAAUUUACAGCUUUUUUAAGCUCAUUAAUUUUGUUGUAGAUUUUAUUUGUGGUUAGUAAUAUGACAUGAGAUUUUGGGGUUUUUUCUUUACAUGUUGUUCAGUUUUUUAAAAUCAUCAAAUCUUCAUCACAUAAAAACUUUUUAUGUUUUGUUAUUGUUCAUAAAAAAAACCCUGUUUUUAUACUAUUUUUUUAUACCAAUUGUCAAAAACCCUGAAUAUUUUGGUUGUAUUUUUCUCUCCAUCUUUAAUUAUAUACAUCAGUCACCACCAUUUUGAUGAGUUGUUUUACACAGAAUGCAGGGUAUGUUACUUACAAACUGAAACUGUACAAUCAGAUACGAUCACCCAAUAUGCAAAAAAGUCAUGUUUCUAUGGAAACAGGAUAGAUGAUACCACAGUAUUAUUUACAGUCUGAUCAACAGAAUUUGGGUUUACCCCAAAAAUGCAAUUUUAAUUUUCCAAACAAUGAUAUUGUUGGUCAAACAAGUACUUGUACAUGUCUACGGUGUACAUGUAAUUAAGUGUAAAGUGUUUUACAUUUAUUACUGGUGUAUUAUGAAAAGAUUUGCCAUGCAAAUGCUUUUUGAAAUUAACCAUUCACAUGUUUUAUUCCUGAUUUUACAAAUGCUAUGUAAAAGCUUUAUGGCUUUGGAGAUGCAAUUACAUACCGGUAUAUAGGUGGGUUGAGUAAGGCAGUUUAAUCCAAGAUUUUGUAAAAUGUAAAUUCGCUGUUGAAAAACACAUAGAGUAAAUUUUUAAUCAAGAAAUAGUGUAAAGUGUAAAUAUUGAAUGCAGAAACAGUGUAAAGUGUAAACUUGUUUCAAACACAUGGUACCUGUCAUGUGUAAUAUCAUUUUUUGAAAAGAAAAAAAAAACUCAGCAAGAUUUUACACGAACCAAAAUUUCGCAUGAAUUAAGAAAUGUGCGUUGAAUUUGUAAAGUUACUCUAAAAUGUCACUAAAACCUUUCUUAAGAUUUAAAUAAAUGAAAAUUACUUUGCUGUAUUAUAAAUGCAAUGUUGAAUAGUAUUUUUGUUCAAUCCAAAUCAUAUUCUUUUCAUCAGAAAUAAUUCAAGUGUAUUUUAUAUAUUCCCCUUUUUCUCUCUAUUUUCUGCCUUUACUUUUGCUAUACAAUGAAAUUCAGGGCUUAUGUUAACUGUAAAACCUUUAUAUUAACAAUUUUGUCAUUAUUAAAAUAUGUUUACAAGUGCUCAUUUUGUUAUAUUUUAAUUUCUUUUUAUUUUAGUUUGACAAAUACAUUGUACACACCGUUGAUUCUGUUGUGAUUUUGUUCAUCCAUUCAGUCCACUACAUAUGCUGGUACAUGUAUGUGUAUGUUUUCUGUACGUUUGUAUGUUUGAUUUUGUAUCUGUGUACGAUACAGUACAUGUGUUGAUGAAAUAAUUAACAAUUAAAGAUUAAAG
rnacentral:sRNA from 1 species